rnacentral:rRNA from 1 species
UACGAGGGGUGCAAGCGUUGCUCGGAAUUAUUGGGCGUAAAGGGUAGGUAGGUGGUCUCAUUUGUCUGGGGUGAAAGCCUUGAGCUUAACUCAAGAAGUGCCCCAGAAACGGUGGGACUAGAGUCUCGGAGAGGAUCGUGGAAUUCCCGGUGUAGCGGUGAAAUGCGUAGAGAUCGGGAGGAACACCAGCGGCGAAGGCGGCGAUCUGGACGAGUACUGACACUCAACUACGAAAGCGUGGGGAGCAAACAGG